rnacentral:rRNA from 1 species
UACGUAGGGGGCUAGCGUUGUCCGGAUUUAUUGGGCGUAAAGAGCUCGUAGGCGGUUGGGUAAGUCGGGUGUGAAAACUCCAGGCUCAACUUGGAGAUGCCACCCGAUACUGCUCUGACUUGAGUUCGGUAGGGGAGUGGGGAAUUCCUGGUGUAGCGGUGAAAUGCUUAGAUAUUACAUGGAAUACCAAUUGCGAAGGCAGGUUACUACUAAUAUAUUGACGCUGAUGGACGAAAGCGUGGGGAGCGAACAGG